rnacentral:rRNA from 1 species
ACGGAAGGCAGCAGUGGGGAAUAUUGCACAAUGGGCGAAAGCCUGAUGCAGCGACGCCGCGUGAAUGAAGAAGUAUUUCGGUAUGUAAAGUUCUAUCAGCAGGGAAGAUAAUGACGGUACCUGACUAAGAAGCACCGGCUAAAUACGUGCCAGCAGCCGCGGUAGUACGUAUGGUGCAAGCGUUAUCCGGAUUUACUGGGUGUAAAGGGUGCGUAGGUGGCAUGGCAAGUCUGAAGUGAAAUGCGGGGGCUCAACCCCUGAACUGCUUUGGAAACUGUCAAGCUUGAGUACAGGAGAGGAAAGCGGAAUUCCUAGUGUAGCGGUGAAAUGCGUAGAUAUUAGGAGGAACACCAGUGGCGAAGGCGGCUUUCUGGACUGUAACUGACGUUGAGGCUCGAAAGCGUGGGGAGCAAACAGGAUUAGAUACCCUGGUA